rnacentral:lncRNA from 1 species
CUCACAGGCGCCGGUCUGGGUUCAGAUCAGUUCCGUUCUCUGGUCUCCCAAGGCCCUUGGUUUAUGGGAUGCCUGCAGACGGAAGCUUUCCCCCCGUCAGCAGGUCUCCACUGAAUCAGCGGCAGGAGUCCUGGAUGAUCCCCCGAUCACGCGGCCCCUCCCCCGCUCCUUCCCGACCCCUCCCCCCCACCGCAGCAAUCGCAGACUCUAGGGGAGGGAGCGAUGUUCUCUCCUACCGUUCCAGCGCCUCCGAGGCUACAAAGAAAGGGGGGCAUGAGGUAUCAAGGACCUUGCCCUGGAGUCACUAAGCUGCUCCUGGACUAGAUGAUGAUGAUAAAGAUGCUAAUGAUGAACCCCACAAACUGAAGUUCUGUAUCUAUCCUGAAGAAGAUACUUUCUGAAUAGUCUCUAACUUAUAUUUUUACAUACAAUAUUUUCACGUGCAUUUUCUGCUUCAUAUAAUCACUCGAAAAAAAUUUGUCCUUAAACCUAAGACUAGAACUUUAAGCAAUGUAACAAUACGAUUGACUUUCGGGAUAAUAAAGUUUUUCUUGAAAUUUUGUCUGCCACCCACGUUUCUAUCUGUCUCUCAUUGGCAAGUCUGAUAUUUGAGUUCUUUCCUUGGAGAGGAAUGAUAGGAAGUUCUGUCCAUCAGGUAGCAUGUAAAAAAUACUCACACAGUAUGAUACAUUGGUUUGAUUUCUUUAGCAGCUUUCAGCAA